rnacentral:tRNA from 1 species
AUUGGGGUGGCAGAGCAUGGUAAAUGCGAAAGGCCUAAGCCCUUUUAGCCAGAGGUUCAAAUCCUCUCCCCAGUU